GAGGCCAGAAAGCAUCCAGGUUCAUUUUGGCAGCUUUUGUAUUUUUAUCUAAGCAAGGAAUUGUCCAGCUGCAUUUUCACCCCACUUCCUAUUUCCAAAGUCUUGGUUUCUGCAGCCAGCUUCUUUCCUGUUCUUGGAAACAUUCCAGAAAAGAGCCUGCAGCAUUUCCACUGCUCAGCCAUGCUCCUGGUGCUCAUCCCAGUCCUGGGCAUACAUUUUGUCCUGAGAGAUGCCAGAGCCCAGUCUGUGACCCAGCCUGACAGUCAUGUCACUGUCUCUGAGAAAGCCUCACUGGAGCUGAGAUGCACCUAUUCCGGUACUUCAACUCCUUAUCUCUUCUGGUAUGUCCGGUACCCUGGCCAAGGACUCCAGCUUCUCCUCAAGUACAUCUCAGGAGACGCCCUGGUUAAAGGCAACAACGGCUUUGAGGCGGAAUUUAAGAAGAGUGACUCUUCCUUCCACCUGAGGAAACCGUCUGUGCACUGGACUGACACGGCUGAGUACUUCUGUGCUCUGGGUGACACAGUGCCUGGGGCUGCAGGGGGAGCUGCACACAAACCACCCAUGGCUGUGGGGUGUCAGACUCAAGAUCUUUCUGUGGUACUAAAGAGGUCUCUUGUGGUAUGAUGGUGACUGGGCAAAGAGGAAUGAGCAGAUCCAGGAACAGAAUUCUGCUUAAUUCUGCAAUUCUUGCUGAGCCCUAUAUCUGAUAAACUUUGUUUCAGAAGCUUUUUCAUCAGUGUAGAAACUACGUAGUGCCACAUAACUAGUGUUCUAGAAUGAUGGAGGAGGCUGUGUUCUUAUCACGUAAUAAUCAGGACCUUAAGGACUUGUCCUGAGACUGUCUUAACGCGUUGAUUAUGUGAAUUGGGACAGCCUAGGAGGAGGUGGGAUUUCAGUCAUCAGUUUAUUUUUCAAUCAACCUGAAACAACAGAUGAGCUCCUUGUGUUCUUUUUCUCCAAGUUUGCCUUCUUUUCCACCUAUUUCCUAUAGACAAUUUUCUUGGAAUUUGUUUUCCCAGCUCUAACUGUGUUAGUCAGAAUGUGUUGGAAUAUUUUUUUCUGAAUAUUAUAGUAAUAUCUCUGUAGAAAUGGUAAAGAAGAAAUUGUGACAUAUUACCAGCCAAUUGUGAAGAAGAAAUUGUUAGGUAUUACCAACCAGCAAUAGGCUAUUGAUUAGACUCAUGAAUGAUUUACAAAAUUAUCAUGGGCAUGCUAGCUCUGGUGACUAUUUAAGAGUUGAGUAGGAGAAUAAAGAUUUACAAUUUUCUAUUGUUUACCUGAACACUUUUACAUGGUUAUAAAAGUAGCUUAACACAGACUGCUAUGAGAAGAACUUCCCAAUUCUUUUUAUUGUUAACUUAAGCUGGAUAUUAAAGAAAAAUAAGUUACACUUCAAGGACCCAAGCAGCUGAGAAAGCACCCCCAUCCCCCCAACCAACUCUGCCUGAGAAAUCAAGGUGCUCUUUGUCACUCCCUUCCUUUCCUGCUUUCCUUUCUUCCUUCCUUUAACAUUUGGUGUUUUUAUAUGAUUGUUAUGAGAAAAUUUUUAGCAUCCAAUAACACUUUUCAAAGUCAAGAAGGUAUACAUCUUGAGCAAAUUUAUCAAUGAAGCAAAUCAUUUUGACUUUUCAAAAGAAUUCUGCCUUUUUGUGUGAUUAAUUGAUCUUACUAGAUAGCUAUACCCAGAAGCAACUGCCCUAACUGCAAGCUGGAACAGCUGAGUGAGGACUAAUUUCCAGUGCCAGUGGGAGACAGCAUUCUGCAAGGGUAGGGUUUGGUUUCAUAGGAUUCACAUGUACCUUGAACCAGGUACCUUCAUCCAUGGCUGCCUCUCACAGAGCCAGAGCACAUGGGUCCAGUAAUCAAGAGGUGAACAUGGGAGAGGCGGCUAAACAUCAUUCCAGCCACAACCUGCUGCAGACUUUUAGCUCCACCUCCGGCAACCUUACACUGUUGAUUUGGAACUUUUAGUCCCUAAGGGAUUUAUUUUCUACCAGGGAACACAAAAAGGUUUCACUCAAUGGAUGAUAGGAUUACCUUUUGGAUAUUUUGAUCUCCUUAGCCACUGAAUCAACAUGGAAGAAAAAAAUCUAUUAGCUAUGGUAAUUGUUCCUGAUUAUGAAGAGGAAGCUGCAUUGCUUCUAGACAGUGGAAGCAAGAAAUAAAGUUUUCAGCCUCUUAGUACUUCCAUGCCCAAUGGUAAAGCUUAAUGGAAAACCUCAGCAACCAACAGAAGCAGGACAACGAAGCACUCAGAUCUUUCCAGAAUGAAUGUUUGGUCAGUCACCCAGGUUAAGAACCAGACCAGCUGAGAUUUGGCCAAGAGAAGGGGAACUGUGGAGUAGGCAUGGAUGGGAGAAGCCAUAGAAAUCAAUUACAGCUCAUAAGCAAGUAUAGAAGAAAAGAACUAUAAUACCUUUGCUUAAUAUCUAUUUGCUUGUUAUUUGUAUGUGCUUAUUUGUGUAUUCUAAUCAUUUUCUUCUUUCUCUGGUCCCUGUUUUUAUUUUGCAUACAAGUUAUUGAAAACAAACUUUACAAUCUAUUGUAUAGGUAGUAGAUUCAGAAAGACUUACUAAAUUUGUGUUAUCAACAUAAUCAGCAGUGAAUACAAUGACCCUGAGACAAUAAAUCUCAUUUUGGGCAAAGAGUAGGAAGUUCUUUACUUGUAAGAAGGACAUAUAUAUCCUUAAGGAGAUAGCAAUAUAAUAUUUAAAACUAUUUGAAGACAGAAUAUUUCUAGAACCCAAGAAAAUUUUUGUGCAUUCUUUUCCCAUCAAUUUGCCUUCUGGAAAAAACAGUUUGUUUGUUUUUUUUUUUAAUUUGGACAGGUUUUUGCUAAAG